GAUGAACGCUGGCGGCGUGCCUAACACAUGCAAGUCGAGCGAUUCUCUUUGGAGAAGAGCGGCGGACGGGUGAGUAACGCGUGGGUAACCUGCCCUAUACACACGGAUAACGUACCGAAAGGUACGCUAAUACGAGAUAAUAUAUUUUUAUCGCAUGGUAGAAAUAUCAAAGCUUUUGCGGUAUAGGAUGGACCCGCGUCUGAUUAGCUAGUUGGUAAGGUAAUGGCUUACCAAGGCGACGAUCAGUAGCCGACCUGAGAGGGUGAUCGGCCACAUUGGAACUGAGACACGGUCCAAACUCCUACGGGAGGCAG
rnacentral:rRNA from 1 species